GGGGCAGUGGAUUCCGUUCUGCUGGCUACCUCUGCGGGCUGAGAGCAAUGUUAGAUCAGCCUUAGCUCUGCCAAGCCUGGGUCCUGAGCUUAAAGGUGAGGCAGUGAGUGGCUCACAGAGAGACUGGCCCUAAUCCAGCUCAUCGAGAAGCUGGCAGGAGGCAGAAAGAAUGAGCACAGCAAAUACUUCGGUGUUAUCACAUUGGCGAGAGUAUCUUUGCUGGCUUCUGUAGAGCUGCCAGCCUUUCUUGUUCUGCAUCUCUCCAGGUCAUACAUUCAGCAAAUAUUUAUGGAAUACUUCUAUGAGUCAGGAACCAUGUGGGGCAAGCAAAAUCUUCUAUUGGGCCCAGCCUGCCUCUGCCUGCUUCUCCUCCUACUCCUGGGCUACCAGCAUCAAUGCCCGCCUCUGCUCCAGGGCCUGGCACAGCGCUGGCGUUAUGGCAAGGUUUGCCUGCAAUCCCUGCUCUACAAGUCCUUUGGGGUCAGUGACACUGGCAUACAGGCUGCCUCUGAUCCUAUCUACUGGCUGGGGGACAGUAUGAUCUGCUAGUUUGGAGUGGUGUUUGUGGUGCUGGUGAUCAUGCUGAUUGGUUCCAUCAUGGCCAUUGCUUAUCUGUAUGUUCUGCCCCUCAUCGACCGAACCUAUUCAACAUCAUGGCUCUGCUGGCAUUUCUUCUAUAGUAACUGGAAUCUAAUCCUCAUCAUCCUCCAUUAAUACCAGGCCUUCACCGUUCCUCCUGGAUACCCAUCCCAGGGCAGGAAUGACAUUGCUACUGUCUUCAUCUCUAAAAAGUGCAUUUACCCUAAGCCAGCUCAGACACACACCUGCAGCAUCUGUAAUAGGUGUGUGCUGAAGAUAGAUCAUCAUUGACCCCUGGAUAAACAAUUGUGUG
rnacentral:lncRNA from 1 species